CUUUAAAUAUUUGAAUGUAGCCGUAAGUAGGCGGUAAAGCUUUAGACCUGUGUGAAAGGUAGGGGAGGGUGCUGACCUGAGCCCAGCUGCUCUGAGGUAUUUCCAUGCUGGGCCUGAGGAUGAAGCCAGCCCUGGGAAGUUCGCUGUGCUGAGCAGAGAACAGACCCUGCAUUGCAGUUCCUUCACCCUCACUGGCAAACAGAACGAGGAGGUACUACUUCUAAACUGACAUAGCAGGAUAGAUGCAACUUCUUUAUUAGAGCCUGUUUUUCCACUGGAGGAGGAGGAUGUUUCUGCUCUCUGGGGAAGUGUGGAAGCUCAGCGAGGAUAACCCCGUGACUGCAGAUGAAUACCCGUAUUGAUAGAUCUAGCAACUGAUAACUGAAGAAAUAUGCUUCAAAUUUGAAAUAUGCUUUGCAGAUGAAGUUCAGCUGUCCCAAAGUUGCAUGAAUGAGCAUCCUUUCUGCUUGCAGAAAUCUUGUCAAGGUGAGUGUUGGUAUUGCUAGGGUGGAGAUACAAGCCACACAAGGCAAAAAAAAAAAAAAAAAACACACACAAAAAAACAACCCAAAAAGCAACAACAACAACAAAAGGGAUGAAGCUGGAGAAGGAAGGUGAGCUUGUCAAAGCCUGUAGAGAAGAAGUGAGGAUAAUUAAUCAGACAAAUGGAGAGAGAGCAGGUGUGCAGAGGGAAUAGUCUGGUGGGAGCAAAAAGCAGUGGAAUGAAAAUGAAUGUCAGAAGAGCUCAUCUUCCUCCUGACCAAGCUGACUGGGAAAUGCUAACUGUAAUGAUGUGAAAAUGAUACAGCUGAUGGAUCUCUAGUAAUAACAGCCUGAAAUAUUACCCAAGUCUACUCAGAGAGUAAGAGCAAGAAGAAACACAAAGGUACAUGGAUUGGGCCCUCUUGGGUUGGGGUACGUACAGUACCAUGAGGUACAGCCCUCCAACCGGACUCGGUGCCGCUGAUCACAGCCCUCUGAGCUUGGACAGUCGGCCAGUUCUCCAUCUGCCUCACUGACCAUUCAUCAAUCCCACGUCCUAAGCUUCUUUAGAAGGAUGUUGUGAGAGACAGUGUCAUAAGCCUUGCUGAGGUCAAGGUACACAGCAUCCAUUGCUCUUCCCCUUGUCUACCCAGAUGGUGAUGACAUUGCAGAAGGCUGCCAGUUUGGCUGAGCAUGGUUUCCCCUUGGUGAAUACAUGUUGACUACUCCUGAUAACCUUCUUCUCUUCUGUUUGCUUGGAUAUGGCAUCCAAAAUAAGCUGGUCCAUCAUUUUACAUUGACCUUUAUAUGCCAUGGUAUCAGAUAUGCUUCCAUCCAAAGGAUUUCAUCAGUUCCCCAUAAUGUGAAAGUAGAAGAACAUCUUUCCUGUAUUAAAAAUAUUAGGAAUUUAAUCCAUCAGAAUUUACUCCUUGUGAAAGAAACAACUUCUUCCAUUUGCAUCAUCCCUACUUGAGAUUUUUAAGCAUCCUUAAACAGCCAUUCUUUGUAUCAGAUGACAAUCUGAACUCCGCACCCAACCUUGGCAUCUGCGGUCAUGACAUCAACAAGGAAAGUACCUCUCCUACAGACUGAGCUGCUGUUUGCAUGUCUGUAACAGCUAGACAGCAUCUUGAGGAGCUCUAGGUCAAAGGGUGAUGGCCAGAUACAAAGCAGUCUGCGGGUCCUUCACACGUGGGUUAACCAACAUGGCUCGCUCGAGCUUUCUUCAGAGGCGUGGAAUCAGGACUCCGUGCCCUUGCCAGAAGGAAGGGAAGUGGAGCAGAGGUGCAGUCCGAGGGAGAGGACUUGCGAGCCCCGAAGGCAGCAGGGCCGUGCCGGGCCGCGAGUGCCUCCCGCCCGCGACAGCACCAUGGAGAGCGCCCGGGGAGCCGCGCCGCACCGCACAGUACCGGACCGUACAGCAAAAUGGCCGCUGCUCCGCGUCUCGCCGUGCAAGUGGGCUCACGCGGGCUGGGGCCAGCGAGCUGGUAGGAACGUGUUCCUGCCCGCACCUUCCAGCCAGCUCGGAGGGAAAUCGAUCUGCUCUCUUUCCACAAGUCAGCAGUGUGUGUAAAGGGUAUGCAGCAAGCCACUAAGUCUGCAGUUGCUAUUCUCUACGAACCAAGGUUUGGUUGUCCCCAAACAAAGCAACACCAUUAGAGCACUUAAAUAAAUACAUGCACAAAUAAAUCUGGCUCUGCGUUCAUCCGUAGAUACUUGGCUAGGUUAAAGUCAGCCUCUGAGACAGCAACCCUGAUGCACUUCCAAGAGUGAUGAAACUGCUGCUCGGGUGGUUUCACUCAAUUUCUCAUAAUCAAAUAUAUCUUUCAAGGCAAUAAAUAAGUAUAAGAAAUAUCUAACCUCAGAAAUGAAAGUCCAACAAACAAAAAGACCAAAAAGAAAAAAAAAAAAAAGCCACGCUCAGAAGAAGAGUUUGCAAAUAUUUCUGAACUCUCAUUUCAAAAAUGACAGGAGCUAAUUGUUGCUUUGGUCGUGCUGCUUGUAUCCUGAACGUUAAAAGGAAUUAAUAGGAAAAGGUAUCAAUUUGUCACAACAGUGCUAAUUAAUGUUUUACAUUUUUUUUCUCUCUUUUAAUAGAUAAUUUGCUGUAAUGAGUAUAUCAGGGCUAAGUGAGAAUGGGGCUGCAAUAGUGUUUUUCUCAAAUUUCUGAAGUUAUUUAACCUACUCUCAGUAUUAACCUACUGCAGGGACCCUGCUUUAGCUGGGGAGUUGGACUCAAACUCCGACCGCUACCAUUUUGUGGUUCUGUGAUUCAUGAUGCAUGAAGAUUCAAAUGAAAAAUGUCCCUUUUUAUAAAUUGAAGAACAAGGUAUUCUGUUUCUUUAGUAUCAGGAAAAUGUUUAUUCAGCACGAGCUGUGGUGUAUUAUAAAUAAAGGUCCAGCUGACUUAAAAAUUACCACCUGCACUGAAUUUUUCAUAAUUAUACUUGAUGUAUGCUAUUGGUAUUGAAACAUUCGUCAAUCCGUUCUCUACUUCUGUGCUUAAAACAAUAUAAAAUAUUUGUCUGACUUAAUUCAGACACCUUCAAGGCAAGCAACGUAGAAACUUACAAACUGUUUCAUAUUGGCAUAAAAACAUCGAUCUGUCUUUGUUCUUAUGCAAGUCCUGCUCUU
rnacentral:lncRNA from 1 species